rnacentral:misc_RNA from 1 species
AACCAUUCUCACCUGCGGCUAGACCUGCGGAAGGAUCAUUACUGAGUCACGUGCUCAAACAACCCUUCUGUGGACCUGAAAUAAAACCGUUGCCUCGGCGGGCGGUCCCCCCCAAACCAACCCCACGUGGUGGGUUAGGGGAGACCAGACAGUCCGGUACGCUUAAGGCGUCCGGCGCCAGCCGCUGGCCCCAAACAAUUAAACUCUAGUAAUCUUUACCUUCUGAAUUUCAAUAUUUAA